CACCAAACAAACAAAAGAUCCUUUCUCCUCUUUCUCCCUUCUGAGAAAUGGGGAUCAGAGAGAAGAGAAGGGGAAAAAAGACUCAGGUGGUCUGUCUCAGGUUUACCAUCUGAUCUACUGUCUUUAAUGAGGGUCUAUCUUAGCCCUUCCUCUUGGGGUAUUCUGUUUUACAGCUGUUUCAAGGGUAACAAGGUCUGUGAGUGUCUCCCUCUUGGCUGAGUAGUCUCUGAAGUCACAGUUUUCUUCCUGUGGCAGGUUUUCCAUUUUUAAGCUCCUAAUCCACCAGGCAGAACAAGCCUCACAGGUGUACCUUGUUAAUGCUGAAUGAGCCCAGAAGAGCUUGUUAAUUAGUCUCCUGUCCAACCGAGAUCUGUCUCUUCACAAGGAAGUUUGUUGGAUUAAACUGCAGGUCCCCUUAUCCCACUGGAGAAGAAGAUUAGAAUUUGCUGCAGGCUAUGCAAAUUGCAGAUACUGAAGGGCAGUUUUGAAGUAGACUGUGGGGCUAUCUUUUAUUUUCCUAACUAUGAGGAACUGGCCUCACCAUUCCAUAGAGACUGAGAAGGCCUGCUCCUGGUCUCUUAUCACCUCAGAGCCCUUCUGAGCUAUCUGGAUGAGAAGAACUGCUUCAAAAUGUCCAGUAGAAUGCAGAGUUCACUUUUACAUCCUCUCUGCAGCUGGUUCCCGCUUCUAUGCUGUGGAACACCAAAGAUGCUCCACUCCUGAGCUGGCUGAAGAUUCAGAGAAGACCCUGGAUGUAGUGAAAAUGUUCAGUCCAUCCAGAAGUGCAGUUGCAUACAGAUCCUGUUCUUCAACAAGGCAAUUGCUGCUGUGACAAAGAUCCUGGUCUUCAGGGAUUAAAUUAUUCAGACAAUUCAGGAGCAUGCCUCCUCUGAGCCUAAAGGGUCGGAAACCGGAAGACAAAUAGAUCCCUACAUUUAUUAUUUUUAAAAAUCUCAAGAUUUUUUUUUGGAGAGGGGCUGACUCAUGAUACUUGAAUAUUUGGGGUUGUCAAUACUGAAUCACAUUAAUACUGCAAAUAGGAUAAUGUUCUUCUUUCUGCUCCCAUUGAAGCUAUAAGCAGAACUCUCUGUGGCUUCAGUGGUGGUAGGUUUGGGCCUUUGCCUUAGAGAUUGUAAAAGACUUGGAUUUCUUUUUCUAAGAUUGCAUAGUGCUGCACACUUUGAUUGUGCUCAAUAACUAACUAAAAAAAGUAUGUGUUAACCUAUAUCACACAUGAGUCCAUAACAACCUUAACAUACCCUUCCAUAUUGCACAAAGCAUGGUAUAAACAGAAAUUCUAUCAACGGACUUAAUACUCAUUAGUCUCUUGUGUCCACUGUAAGCAUAACUGAAGGUUUUCUAAUUAGUUCCAAUGAUUUUGUGGAUAUUUGGAGUAUUUAGAACAAUCUGUAUCUAUGCAACUAAAUUGUACAUUUACUUACUGGUUUUCUCUUACUGAUGUCUCUUUAACUGAAUAACCACUUGUCCCACCAACUCUCUGGUUAACAUCUACCAGUGGUGGUAAAAUAAUUCACUGUGUGGAUAACCGUGUUAUCAAGACUUAAUACUAGUGAUAAAACUGUGGGCUGAUUUACUUUCUAAACUUAAUGUUCCCCAAAAUAAAACUCCUAGUGAAAUGGACUAAAGAAAACCUCAUUGUUCCUUCAUAAGACUCCAAGGGCUAAAUUGUGACUGCCUCUGUGAGGGAGCUCAAUGUGGGAUAAAUAUCAUGCAGGAGACAGACAGACUACUGACCUCCCUUGGUUGCUAGGUUAUUUGGAUGUCUGAGGUACCUGCUAGCACUCCUUGCAUCAGAAGGGGUGGGACCAAGAGGGCUGAAAGUGUUGCAAUGUGCUUGUCUUUCUAGACCACAUGCUCCAGGACAGUAGAGGGAGUGUGUUGCAUAAGGUAAUGAUCAGUAUGCUUCCACUCCACCCCACAACACAACCUGAGGCCUUAUGGGGUAUGUCUACACCACAACUAGACACCUGUGACUCUACCAUGUCAGCUGACUCAGGUUCGCAAGGCUUGGGCUGCGGGGCUGUUUCAUUGCUGUGUAGGCUUCCAGGCUCAGGCUGCAGCCUGGGCUUUAGGACCCUGUGGAGUACGAGGUUCCCAGAGCUUCUGCGCCAGCUUGAGCCUGGCAGUCUACACAGCAAUGAAACAACCCUUGAGUCAAAGUCCCAUGAGCCCAAGUUGGCUGGCAUGGGCCAGUCACAGGUUUUUCUUUGCUUGUAGACAUACAUACCAUAGACUGACUGGUGCCACAUACCUAUGCUGUCUAUCACCAUAGCAUGUAGGCACUGAACUUCUCUGUUCCCCACUGCCCAACCUCUUGUGUGCUGAAUUCCCAGAAUUUAGCCCAAAAUGAAUUUUCAUCAAGGAAAGUGCAGGGGUUCAGCUAAUAGCUAAGACAGAAGUGGAUAAAAGGUCACAUAUCAGAAUAAAAUGAUGGAAAAAAGGUCUUUCUAUUAAAUGAAUGGUCAUCAUGGAAUCAUAGGUUGCAAAACAAAAUAAAUGCAGUUCUCUUCAGAACUGAGGAAUUAUAGUAAAUGAAAUUGAUUUGGUGCUUGUCUUUGCUUUAUUCAAUGUAGAUAGAAAAAAUUCUGGUGCAAUACCUUAAAGGUGAAAAACAUCAAGAGAAACUGAUUACUAAAAUAGAAUCCGCAUCAAAACAAGGGGCAGAUCCUUUGGUACAACUCAGGAAGUGGUUAGAGAGUAAAGAUCUCCCAGGGACUGCCCUGAUGUUGGUGCUGCUCUGAUUACUGAUCCUGUCUUACGUUGUGUGUGUUAGAGCAGCUUGACAGCUUACAUUGAGCUGUCAACCACCAGAAUAGCCUGCAAUGGCAUGGGGGAGGAAAAGAUUUUUCAAAGCCCCUGUACUACAGGAAAGGGAUCUGUGCUCCUUCUCGCUAACCAGGCCUCACUUUCCCUGCUAAGCUGGCAGCAAGGAAGAUAUGUGGCAUACUAGCUACUACAUUUCUUUUAAACCCCUUCAGGAUCACCCUUGUACUUGGGGUGGUCUACGCUGGGCCAUUAAGACAGGUUUUGUGGCAGCAAUGCACCAUACAUUGCCCCUGGAGAUCUGGCACAAUAUUCCAUAGUAUGUUUACUUCCAAGUUUAAAAUAGAAUUUAGCACAAUGUAUCAAUGUGCUUUUUGUUCAGUGUCCCUGCCUAAUGCUUGCCUUAACUUUGAGUAUCACUGUUGAUUAGAAGUAUUGUGCACAUUCUGUGGGUUAUUUUGUCAUAAUAAUAAUAAUUAAUAAUAAUACUUGGCAUUUAUUUAGUGUCUUCCAUUUUCAAAUGUAGGAUGAUGAAGUUAUAUGCAAGACCCAUGAAGUUAUAUGCAAGAUUUCUGGAAGAAAAAGAUGCACUGGGAUGUAUUUUUUUUUUUUUUUAAAGAAGAAGAAUAGAAUAGGGUCAGCCUUGUUAUUAGUGUUCACUACUAUGCAUGAGAUGUUUGUUUGUUUUGUUUGUUUUUUCUUUUGGCCAGUGGUGUAUCUGAUUCAGUUUUCAGUAUUGCCAACCCCAAAUUUUAAAGAAUCAUCUUAUUAACUCUCUGAAAAUCACAAGAUUUUUUAAAAAAAAUGUUGGAUGGUUCUUAUUUCCUGACUGGUGUUGGAGUGUUUAGGGUGCACUUGUUUCAUGUUUAAGUUUUUUCUCUGCACCAUGAGGGGUAGAAACUUUUCCCUAAUAAUGAAAUCUUCAAUUAUCAUGAACUAUCAUGAUUACAGCAGCUGGGGCUUUAAGGAACUCAUUAAACAUUGUGAGACUUGCAAUAAAAUUAAGAGAUCUGGCAACAAUGAUUUGUAAUUCUCAGAAGUGUCACACUUGCAAAAGAAAAGACAUUUUAAAGGGACAAUGUCAACUUGAAAUAUCAACAGAGCCGGUCAAAAACAUUUUAAAGUUGGAAAUUUUUCCUUACAAUGUUGAAUUUCAACCAAAAAAUGGGAAAAUUUCACAAUAUUCCAUGUCCUAUUGUUCCACAGUUACAUGGACCUUGUAGAAAGUGUAAAUGUAACUUGUUCAUUUUCAAUAAAUCCAUCCUCCUUUUCUGUGUUUUUUCAGAUCCUUUUUAGGCAAAACUGCCCAUGUUUCUGUAUCCCAUUUGUCACAUUUCUGGAGACACGUGGAUAGAGAGCAUUGCUUACUUUCCAUAACAUGAAUAAGAAAAUGAUGCAAGUUCCACCUUACUGCUUAAGCUACUCCAAAAUAUUUUGCUAGAUGGAACAUUAAGUGAAUCCACUUCACAACUUUUUUAAUGCUCCAACUUCAAAUGCCACAGAUUAAACAGGAAGUUUCAUGUUCAGCAUAUAAAGCUCCCUAUUCUAGGUCACUGACAAGAACCCACCAUUGUAAAGUAGUAAUUAGCCUCAUAGUGUUUCAUUAAAAUAUUACUUCUUUCUUUGUGUGUUAAGGAAUGAUUUCUUACUCUAGUCUCUUUGUCUGUUUGUAUUUGGUGCAGCUGUUUCAUUAUUGAUGUAAAGAGGCAAUUCAGAAUUUAAUGAUUAAUUUUAAUGUAGAUCAUUCUUAUCUGAAUAAUUGAUGGAAAAGAUGAUCAUACACAUUCAGAGUCAGUAGCUGUUAUUCCUCCGGUCUCCUCUUAUCUUUGUAGUUGUACUCCUUGCCAAAGCCCCUCAAGCCCAUGCAUUUUGUUGGGAAAUGUG